GCUCUUGUAGCUAUAAUUGGUAGAGCAAUCGGAUGAGCCGAAGAAGGAUGUCAGUUCGAGUCUGACCAAGGGCA
rnacentral:tRNA from 1 species